rnacentral:misc_RNA from 1 species
UUUUGAUAUACAAGAAAACAGAGAGUUACAGGAACAUUGUAUUGUAUUCCUAUAAUAAGGUAUAUAUACUCUCUCAUGCACAAUCAAAUGUGAAAGAAUCACCAGAAAAAAACCAGCUGAGCUCCCAUUUUCUAACUACAUCCAAGCUACUAACUGGUUCUCUGAGAAUCUCUCACACUAUAUAAACAAAGAAAAAAGAUGUAGAAAUAAUCAAAGAAACGAACUCCAUUAAAGAGGAAUAUUCCGGGGACGUAUAUUCUAAACCAUCCCUCUGGUAAAUUUUCCUCAGUAAUAGUCACAAUCAUGCCUGAUUUGCCAAAUCAUUGGCGUUUAUGAAUGUUCCAUGAAAUCCAUAAGGAACUCUUGAUGGAAGCUUCACAGUUGCCUCCAACUUCAAACUCAUUGCGUUAACAAUUUGCAGUUCUGAUUUCCAUUCUUUCUCAUCGUGAACGAAAGCUAAAAUAUAACCAUCGUCUUCUUCCUUGCUGUUGGGGUCUCUUGGUAAAAAAAGAGGUUCCCCACCAUAUUUGUUGUCACCAUAAAUGAAUUUCUCAACUUCACCGGUGAACAGGUUUACUUUUGCAAAACCAGAAACUUUUGGCCAUGGUUCAGCGAUAGCCAAAUAAGCAUACUCUGUUUUCCUUCCGAGUUUGUUUCGGUUCACCAUUCCAGCUUCUAAAUUCACUUGUUCAUCCGGGUUUUCGAUUAUGGAUUUUCUUGUUGAUUUCCCUGUUUUCAAAUUGAGACGGAUUUCGGAUAAAACACUCUUUAGCCCUUCAUCACAUUCAUUGAAAAUGGAGUCUGGUGGUGUCAUACAUGAACCAAUUACAACGAUUUCAUCUGUUUCUGCUUCUUCCCAAGCAUUCCAGAGGUGGAAACAGAAACAAUCAGGUACUUCAACCCAUUUCAAAUCAGACCCAUCUUUCGCGUACUUAUCCAGAAUACCAAAUCGGGAAACUUUGUUCUUGUCGUAAACCACCGGUGAACCUCCACGGAUCAUUUCAGACAUCUUGAAAACGACUUGUUGAUCAGGAAUGACGACGAAGUUCUCAGUAAUUGCGAAAUCAUGCAUCAUUGUUGGGUCUUCAACUGGAAUUUCAACAUCAUUUGAUUUUUCCCCAUUUUUUGAAAAUCUGAAGUACUUGAGGUAUGGCUUCUGAAUCACAUCGUAGCUAAGAGCAAAUAGCUCACCGGAAACUGGGUCGAGCUUUGGGUGAGCUAUCAUGGUGGAUUUUAGCUGGCCGUCGAAAUCGAAUCGACCCUCUGUUUUAAGAUCGCCGGUGGGUGUUACCUUUACAUGGUAAGGCAAAUCAUCUUCAGACAUAGCAAGUAAUCGGU